GUUGGAAGAGACGAAGACAGGGUAAUGGCUUAAACACACGAAUUGUAUUUAGGAAGACGUGCCGGCCAAACUAUUGCAAGUUUGACUGUUCAGCAUAAUGUUAGAACAACAAACUCUUCACCUAUGCACGGUCAUCAGCCCCCGCCUGGCCUGUCAUUUGUGUCACAAGGAAGUACCACACCUGGUCAUGUGUCAGGAAUUGGAGAGAUAACAGCUUACUUAGAAGUAAAUUGAAGGCAGCCAACAAUUGGACGGUGGUGCCAAUCAAUGAAAAGAAGGGAUACACGUACAUGCACUGAGUACACAGAGAUCAUCAAGGAAAAAACCCUUCAAUCAAAGUUCCUUUUUGAUUCAGCUUAUCCAAAGCUGAUUGCCUCUACAAUUGCCCCUUAUAUAUCCACCUGCGGCUAAUGAGGAGCUGCAAUAUCCAAUAGGUCAAGGGCAAGCAACCCGGAAACAAUAUGAAGAUUUACUCAUACAAAUUGAUACAUGGUGUAUGUAACUAUGUUGUUUUAACUAACUUCAACAUACCAUUAUUAUGAAUUAAAAAAUUGACAAAGCUGAAAUCAAUGAUAAAUGAUUAUGGGUAGGAACAUGUUGUGUGAAUUUGGCAGCAUGGUUUUCUAGGAUGUAUACCAUUGAGUAUAAAAGUGCAUGUGUAACCCUUGCUGUUUUUUCAGUCAGAAGAUGACUUUAGUAUUUGAAAUGAUGCUUGAAUUUAUUUGUGUAAUAUGAAGGCGUGACCAAAUGUGUGACAUUAUGGUCGACUGUCCUGUGAUCAUCAUGGUGAUAAAAUGUGAUUUUAAUAAAUGAACUGCUUAUAAACAUAGGGCAGAAAUAUCAUUGAUAAAAUACUGAUGAACAUAGCAUACAAGUGCCCUGAAAUGCCAUGAGAAUAUGUAUUUGAGUUUAAAGUGUGUACAGUAUUGUGAAUUUUGUUAAUUGUUUUGUUAUAAAAAUAUAGGAUCCAAAGUAUUCAAUCAUAGAUUACUCUGAAAAAGAAGAAUAAGUAAAAAACUUGUCUGGCAAAUAACUACAUAAACAAUG